GAUGAACGCUGGCGGCGUGCCUAAUACAUGCAAGUCGAGCGAACGGACGAGAAGCUUGCUUCUCUGAUGUUAGCGGCGGACGGGUGAGUAACACGUGGAUAACCUACCUAUAAGACUGGGAUAACUUCGGGAAACCGUAGCUAAUACCGGAUAAUAUUUUGAACCGCAUGGUUCAAAAGUGAAAGACGGUCUUGCUGUCACUUAUAGAUGGAUCCGCGCUGCAUUAGCUAGUUGGUAAGGUAACGGCUUACCAAGGCAACGAUGCAUAGCCGACCUGAGAGGGUGAUCGGCCAAACUGGAACUGAGACACGGUCCAGACUCCUACGGGAGGCAGCAGUAGGGAAUCUUCCGCAAUGGGCGAAAGCCUGACGGAGCAACGCCGCGUGAGUGAUGAAGGUCUUCGGAUCGUAAAACUCUGUUAUUAGGGAAGAACAUAUGUGUAAGUAACUGUGCACAUCUUGACGGUACCUAAGCAGAAAGCCACGGCUAACUACGU
rnacentral:rRNA from 1 species